GACGAACGCUGGCGGCGUGCUUAACACAUGCAAGUCGAACGGAAAGGCCCUUUCGGGGGGUACUCGAGUGGCGAACGGGUGAGUAACACGUGGGUGAUCUGCCCUGCACUUUGGGAUAAGCCUGGGAAACUGGGUCUAAUACCGAAUACACCCUGCUGGUCGCAUGGCCUGGUGGGGGAAAGCUUUGCGGUGUGGGAUGGGCCCGCGGCCUAUCAGCUUGUUGGUGGGGUGAUGGCCUACCAAGGCGACGACGGGUAGCCGGCCUGAGAGGUGUCCGGCCACACUGGGACUGAGAUACGGCCCAGACUCCUACGGGAGGCAGCAGUGGGGAAUAUUGCACAAU
rnacentral:rRNA from 1 species